rnacentral:rRNA from 1 species
AGAUUAAACUAAAGAGUUUGAUCCUGGCUCAGAUUGAACGCUGGCGGCAUGCCUUACACAUGCAAGUCGAACGGCAGCGCGGGGCAACCUGGCGGCGAGUGGCGAACGGGUGAGUAAUAUAUCGGAACGUACCCUGGAGUGGGGGAUAACGUAGCGAAAGUUACGCUAAUACCGCAUACGAUCCAAGGAUGAAAGCAGGGGACCGCAAGGCCUUGUGCUCCUGGAGCGGCCGAUAUCUGAUUAGCUAGUUGGUAGGGUAAAAGCCUACCAAGGCAUCGAUCAGUAGCUGGUCUGAGAGGACGACCAGCCACACUGGAACUGAGACACGGUCCAGACUCCUACGGGAGGCAGCAGUGGGGAAUUUUGGACAAUGGGCGCAAGCCUGAUCCAGCAAUGCCGCGUGAGUGAAGAAGGCCUUCGGGUUGUAAAGCUCUUUUGUCAGGGAAGAAAAGGCUACGGAUAAUACCUGUGGCUCAUGACGGUACCUGAAGAAUAAGCACCGGCUAACUACGUGCCAGCAGCCGCGGUAAUACGUAGGGUGCAAGCGUUAAUCGGAAUUACUGGGCGUAAAGCGUGCGCAGGCG